rnacentral:rRNA from 1 species
AAGUAUUAAAGGUAGCGCCUGCCCAGUGAAACUUAAACGGCCGCGGUACCCUAACCGUGCAAAGGUAGCGUAAUCACUUGUCCUCUAAAUAAGGACCAGUAUGAACGGCUAAAUGAGGGCUUUCCUGUCUCCUUUGACCAAUCAGUGAAACUGAUCUUCCAGUACAAAAGCUGGAAUAAUCCUAUAAGACGAGAAGACCCUGUGGAGCUUUAAACUAUGACCAACAUCAACAAACACCAUAAAACCCUGGUCUAAUAGUUUCAGUUGGGGCGACUUCGGAAAACAACUAAACUUCCGAGCAAGCAGACCUAAACCUAAUACAGACCCACAAGUCCAAAAUCACUGACCCAGUAACACUGAUCAACGAACCAAGUUACCCCAGGGAUAACAGCGCAAUCUUCUUCAAGAGCCCCUAUCGACAAGAAGGUUUACGACCUCGAUGUUGGAUCAGGACACCCUAUUGGUGCAGCCGCUAUUAAGGGUUCGUUUGUUCAACGAUUAACAGUCCUACGUGAUCUGAGUUCAGACCGGAGC